rnacentral:rRNA from 1 species
GUGAGGAAUAUUGAGCAAUGGGCGCAAGCCUGACUCAGCAACGCCGCGUGGAUGAUGAAGGCCUUCGGGUUGUAAAAUCCUUUUCUGGGGGACGAUAAUGACGGUACCUCAGGAAUAAGUUCCGGCUAACUACGUGCCAGCAGCCGCGGUAAAACGUAGGGAACAAGCGUUAUCCGGAUUUACUGGGCGUAAAGCGCGCGCAGGCGGCAUGGAAAGUUGGACGUGAAAACUCCUGGCUUAACUGGGAGAGGUCGUACAAAACUACCAAGCUAGAGGUUGGAAGAGGAGAGUGGAAUUCCCGGUGUAGUGGUGGAAUGCGUAGAUAUCGGGAGGAACACCAGUGGUGAAAACGGCUCUCUGGUCCAAUACUGACGCUGAGGUGCGAAAGCGUGGGGAGCGAACGGGAUUAGAAACCCUAGUAGUCC